UACAGAGGGGGCAAGCGUUAUUCGGAUUUAUUGGGCGUAAAGAGCGUGUAGGCGGCUAGAUAGGUCCGUUGUGAAAACUCGAGGCUCAACCUCGAGACGUCGAUGGAAACCAUCUGGCUAGAGUCCGGAAGAGGAGAGUGGAAUUCCUGGUGUAGCGGUGAAAUGCGCAGAUAUCAGGAAGAACACCCGUGGCGAAGGCGGCUCUCUGGUACGUGACUGACGCUGAGGAGCGAAAGCGUGGGGAGCGAACAGG
rnacentral:rRNA from 1 species